rnacentral:rRNA from 1 species
GACGAACGCUGGCGGCGUGCUUAACACAUGCAAGUCGAGCGGUAAGGCCAUUUCGGGGGUACACGAGCGGCGAACGGGUGAGUAACACGUGGGUGACCUGCCCUCAGCUCUGGGAUAAGCCUGGGAAACCGGGUCUAAUACCGGAUAUGACUCCAUGACGCAUGUUGUGGGGUGGAAAGCCUUGUGCGGCUGAGGAUGGGCCCGCGGCCUAUCAGCUUGUUGGUGGGGUGANGGCCUACCAAGGCGACGACGGGUAGCCGGCCUGAGAGGGCGACCGGCCACACUGGGACUGAGACACGGCCCAGACUCCUACGGGAGGCAGCAGUGGGGAAUCUUGCGCAAUGGGCGAAAGCCUGACGCAGCGACGCCGCGUGAGGGAUGACGGCCUCGGUU